rnacentral:lncRNA from 1 species
CUGCCGCUGAGCCUCUGUGUCCCCCAGGGUCCCUGCAGGAGCUUCCAGGGUAGGAGCUCCGAGUGCAGGAAUCAGUGGCGGUGCAGGCGUGCAUGGACGUCCACGUGCCCUGCUCCUUCUCCUAUCCCUGGAGUUCGGGAAAUUCCUGGUAUUCCUCUGAGGAACCCUUCAUCUACUGGUUCCGGGAAAGGGACCGCCAUUACCAUGAUGCUGUGGCCACAAACGACCUAAAGAAACAAGUGAAGUCAGAGACCCAGGGCCGAUUCCGCCUCCUCGGGGACCCCAGGGACAACGACUGCUCCCUGAGCAUCAAAGAGGCCAGGCUGAGCGACUCAGGAGUCUACUACUUGCGAGUGGAGAGAGGAUCUCUGAAAUACAAUUACAGAGAGAAGCAGCUGAAUUUGCAGGUGACAGAGAAACCCGACAUCCAGUUCCUGGAGCCUCUGGAGUCCGGCCGCCGCACACCUCUGACCUGCAGCCUGUCGCUGGUCUGUGAUGGGCCACACUAUCUCCUGUUCUCCUGGGUGGGGGACACCCUUGAUGCCAUGAACCCAGACACCCUCCACUCCUCGGAGCUCACCCUCACCCCGAGGCCCCAGGACCACGGCACCAACCUCACCUGUCGGGUGACACUCCAGGGAGCGCAGGUGACCCUAGAGAGAACCGUCCUGCUCAACGUCUCCUAUGCCCCGAGGAACCUCCGCAUCAGCCUCUCCUUCAGAAACAUCACAGCCCUCAAGAUUCUGCAGAACACCGCCUCUAUUCUCAUCUCAGAGGGCCAGGCGCUGCAGCUGCUGUGUGUUGCUGACAGCAACCCCCCUGCACAACUGAGCUGGUUCCAAGUGUCUCCCACCCUGGAGGCUGCCCCCAUCUCCAGCACCGGGGUCCUGGAGCUGCGGUAUUCAGAAACUACAGAAGCAGAGCUCAGCUGCCGGGCUCAGAACCCGCUGGGCUCCCAAAAUUCCUCCCUGAGCCUCUUUGUGUUCUCCCCCCCACAGCUGCUGGGCCCCUCCUGCUCCCAGGAGGACGAGGGUCUGCACUGCAGCUGCUCCUCCCAAGCUCAGCCGGCCCCCUCCCUGCGCUGGCGGCUGGGCGAAGGGCUGCUGGAGGGGAACUUCAGCAAUGCCUCCUUCAAGGUCACCUCCAGCUCUGCUGGGCCCUGGGCCAACAGCUCCCUGAGCCUCCACGAAGGGCUCAGCUCCGGCCUCAGCCUCAGCUGCGAGGCUCUGAACAUCCAUGGGGCCCGGAGCGGGUCUGUCCUGCUGCUGCCAGGGAAGCCUGCAUUCCUGGUCGCUGGGGCUCUUGGAGGCGCUGGCGCCAUGGCCCUGCUGUGCCUGUUCUUGUGCCUCCUUUUCUUUUUCAUACUGAAAUCCCGCAGAAAGCAGGCAGCCAUGAGACCAGAGGGUGUGGAGGAUGAAGACCCGGUCAUGGGUACUGUCGCCUGGGGUUCCAGGCAAAAGCCUUGCCCAGACAGCCCCCCUGACCAGAUGGUGCUGUCCCCUGCAGAGGACGCCCCACCCCCAGGGGAACAGGAAGAGCUCCAUUAUGCCUCCCUCAACUUUCAUGAGAUGACAUCUCGGGAGCCUCAAGACCAGGAGGCCACCAGCACCGAGUACUCUGAGAUCAAAACGAGCCAAUGA